UACGAAGGGGGCUAGCGUUGCUCGGAAUCACUGGGCGUAAAGGGCGCGUAGGCGGACUCUUAAGUCGGGUGUGAAAGCCCUGGGCUCAACCCAGGAAGUGCACUCGAAACUGUCAGGCUUGAAUAUGGAAGAGGGUCGCGGAAUUCCCGGUGUAGAGGUGAAAUUCGUAGAUAUCGGGAGGAGCACCAGUGGCGAAGGCGGCGACCUGGGCCAAUAUUGACGCUGAGGUGCGAAAGCGUGGGGAGCAAACAGG
rnacentral:rRNA from 1 species